GGACCCUGUGUCGAAGAUAAGGGGUAAGAAAUGAGAGAAUACACGCCAGACCUGGCUCACAGGGCCACCUCGUGCUACUGAAGAGACUUGAGGCAUCACCUAAUCUCCUGGCCCCCAUCUGGUAAUCCCACACUUCCAGAAUCCCAGACAACCAUGAAAUGACGCUCACACUGCCUUGAUACCCAGUUAGCUCCUAUGGAAUGGUUGUAGUUAAAUCAAAAUAGUUUUAAAAGUUCCUGCACAUCCCACCAUGAGUGUCCCCUGGGUCUGAGGAUCACAGAAGAGUCAUAAAAUCCUCAUCUUUCAGUAUAGCUGGGACAGAUCGAAGAUAUGAGGAAUGUUAUUUUAUUUUUUCAGUGUAUGAAAUUUAUUGUCAAAUUGGUUUCCAUACAACACCCAGUGCUCAUCCCAAGAUAUGAGGAAUUUUAAACAAAACCAUCUCUCUCCCUCCCUCCCCGCCCCCAUUUUCUCUCUCCCUCCCCUACCCUCUCUCCCUCUCUCUCUCUCUCUCUCUCUCUCUCUCACACACACACACACACACACACACACACACACUUCAUGCCACCAUUAAGACUCCAUUCUUUUAGGGUCUUCAAGGAAUUCUGGUCUCCUAGGAGUGCGUUAUAAAAUGCAAAUCACCCAGGAGGGGGUCACACCCACCGCCACCAACAGUUUACAAUUGAGUUAACAAUUAACUCCCUAGAAGGGGUUUAUAGCUUGUAGAUCUCAGAGAUCGUACCAGCUCUCACCCCUGCAAACAGGGGUCCCCAAACAAAUGAAGAAAGUCAGGCCUAGAACACGGAGGCGCCUUCCCCCAGAACACACAGCCACGGGCGGGAGCAUCCAGUGGAGAAGCCCUAAGUCUCUCUCCGGGUCUCCAAGGCCUCCUGUUCCUUUGGGGAUAAUCACACGCUCUCCAAAGGAGAGCAGGUGUAGUUCCCUUCCAGAAGGGUUUCUUUCCCCUCCAGGCUGCAGACGCCCAGCACCAUGUCUCUGAAGCGCAGGGAGUUGUUCUAGAAGCACACAGCUGGUUCCGCAGAGCUCACACCAGGGCCUCCACCCUGGCUGCUGCCUCCUGGCCCAGCCCUCAGCUCAGUCUCCUUCCCCCGGGGCCAUCCACCGGGCUCCCCAGUGGGGCUCCAGCAGAGGCUGCCUGUCAGCCCUCCCUCCAUCUGUGCUUUACAUGUGCACCUGACCCAGCUCGGGUUCAGGGCUCCUUUUCUGUCCAAAAAGGGGAAUAUCCAAUGGCUAUUGUGAUGAAACGCAGGCAUCUCCCUGUUAGCACCUAGGACACCCCCGACUGGGUGGCAAAAAUGGAAGGAAAGAUAAGACGUCUAGAAAACAAGGCAGGGAAGUGCUGAGUGUUCUUGGGGGAGACCCUGAAGCAGGCUGUCUGCGUGCCCUGGAAAGUAGACAGAAGAAACAGUAACCCGCGCAGAAUUUCACGAAGCCGGUAAGGAUUCUGGAUGGUCUUAGGUGACGUCGAUGAAUGUCACAAACCCUGAAACUCCAAAUGUGCUUCCAGGAAGAUGGGGCGUCAGGGGUGAAUACACGUGAGCCUUACCAAGUUCCUCUCAGGAAUUCACCUUCGCUCUCACCGCUAAGAGCUCCUCUUGGUUGGACACUAAAGAUCCGCCCACAUCAGAACUUUCCCAAAUGGUUGCUAUUUACAACAGAACGAGUUGGGGUUGUUCUAUUUUUUUUUUUUCCCAGCCACCACUGUAUGUGUCCGGUGUGGCUCACUCUGACCUGAAGUCGUGGGGAUACAGAUGCGUAAGGUGACCCUUCCCCCCCCACCCAUCCCCCACCCCCAGUCACCCCUGCGAGCCUUCAAAGGGUUAAAGCCGGAGAAGAAGCUUUUAAGAACAGCUGGAAACAAAGUGCUGCCCCCAGGCUGACAGCAACCAAUAAAAGAGGAAGGGAUCCUUCCACAACAAUGCCAAAAGGGUCUUCUGCCUUCUGCCAUGACAAGCCUGGUGAGUUGUCUGCACACAUCCAUCUGUCAGAGCUGCAUCUGUCUGAACUACCCCCUGAGGAAGCUAAGGAACCGAGCCCACCUUUCUUGUCCCCCUUCCAUGAACGAGGAUAUGUUGGCAACAAGUUGUCAGAGCUGACGAUGAAUCCAAACCUCCGUUUUGAAGGCAAGUGCUGUAUUUCUGUGACAUGGCCCUAUAUGUAUUCCACACCCUUAGGCCGAGCCCUAACAAUUCCCACAUAAUUUGUAUAGAUAUCUUUGCCCCUCUAUUCUAAAAUGCACUAACAUUUGAAAGCCCAUUGGUUAGAGAUGAUGCUAAGAAAAGAAAAUGCAGAAGAUAGGUCCCUCACGUGGGCCAGCUCAGUGAUCCCACCAAUGGGUUCAUGCCCAUUAUCAUUAUUUGAUAAUAAUGACUCAUCUCUGCCCUUCUUUCUUCUCUCCGUCUUCUUGUCUCUCGCUCAUGUGUCCAUGACAGACAACUGGUUUACCAAAUAUAAGUUUACCAUUCCACUAUAGAGUUCAGUUCAGUCACCAGUGAAUUUUUCAAAUAAGUCCCACAUCCCAGACAGUGUUGUUCGAGAAGGCAUGUAGAAUCUACAUGGUGGCAUCUUCCCAAAAUUCAUAUAUUGAAGCCCUAAUUCUCAAUGGGAUGAUAUUUGGAGGUAAGACCUUUGGGAAGUAAUUCGGUUUAGAUUAGGUCAUGAAGGCGGAGCCCCCGUAACGGGAUUAGUCUCCUUAUAAAAGGAAGAGACAACAGAGCUCUCUCUCUCUCUCUCCACCACGUGGGGACAUAACAAGAAGGCCAUCUGCCAGCCAAGAAGCGAGCCCUCACCACGAACCUGACCAUGUUAAUACACUGAUCUCAGGCUUCUAGCCUCCAGAACUAUGAGAAAAUAAAUGUCUGUUGUUCCAGCCAUCCAAUCUACAGUAUUUUGUUAUAGCAGCUAGACUCGACUGAGACAGACUAGUGAACAUAAAUCCGAUGCUAUUCCUAGACAACUAACCAAAAUCCAGAUUAACUUCAAGCUUGAAGACCGUGAAAACGGCCUCAACAUUUUAGGGCCACAUCUUUUACCAGCCUGGUCCAUUUUCAGCAAGGUCACAAUAACGGCUGACUCACUCAGAAGACUUUAGUUAACAGCUUUCAAAUUUCUUAUUGAGUAAAUUGAUAGGAAAAGAAAGACAGACAUUUCCUGUUGUCUGGUCUGUUGAUUAUACCCAAUAAUGAUCUGACUUCACUAGAUCUUACUGAUACAAAUACUCCUUUGUCACAUGUACCUUGGCAAGAGAGGGUAAGAGAGAAGAGUAAUGGCACCAUUGUCAUGGCUUCCCUCAAUGGAUUCUCCACUCCAGAGGCCUCUGAGACUCUGCACUGAAUACCAUUGUUCCAGAAUUCACCAAAAGCCAUUCUUUUCUACAGCACUCACACCUGCCUCAGGAGGGGAGUUCUACCAAUUUAGAAAAAAAAAAAGGACAAGUCAAGGGAUUAAAGAUGUAUU